rnacentral:lncRNA from 8 species
AUGUCAGCCCCUCUGCUGUCGUCCGAUAAGUGUUUUAUCAACGGGACAAAACUACGCUGUCAAGAUGUUUUUAACUUCUGCAAUUCGAUCUGUUGUAUCGCAAACGUCCAGGCAGGUCAGGAGUCUGCACCAGUCCGCUGCCAGAGCUGGAGCUGGGGGCAUCUUUGUGGUGAGUGCUGCUGUGUAGGAUCUCUAGCCUCGCUGAUUUCAACCAGACGUUUCGUCAGAGAGCUUAGUCAGAAAGCCUUACUGUACUAUAUCCUUAAUGCGACUAGCCUCAGAAGCCCUGCUUCUUACCUACCAAGACGAGAUUUGAAAGUAUGGCCACACAAGGCUAGUCUGGGUACCAGUCUCUUUAGUUAACAUUCCACUCCUUGCCAUUCCUGUCAUUUGCCAAAGAGACUGGCGUUUCGGCAAUCUUAACGUUCAAUAAUGCAGACUUAUUUACGGCACAGUUGUUGAUUGCUAGUUGGAAACGACAUUAAUAUUUUCCAUGACAACGUUAUGGAAUAAUAUAGGGUGUGUGCAAAUUUGGUGCAAUAUAGAAAAGGAGAAUGUUUAAGAACAACAAACAAUAAUGCCAUGAUCUGCUGUGAUAAUUCCCUCGUGAGAAGGCAGUGUCAAUACAAGAUCAUGUUGUUCAAUGUGGCUAGAGAUGAGAGAGAGAAAUCAUCAAAAAUAUUAGCCUACAAGAUUCAAUUGAGCUACGUUUACUUCAGUUGCAUCCUAUAAUUGAAGGAAAUGAAACGGAAAGUGGCACCUGUCGUCAUUCCUCACAUAUACUUCAGAAAGUAUUCACACCCCUUUACUUUUUACGCAUUUUGUUAUAUUACAGCCUGAAUUUAAAACUGAUUAAAUUUAGAUUUUUUUGGUCACUGGCCUACUACACACAAUAUCCCAUCAUGUCAAAGUUUUAUAUAUAUAUAUAUAUAUAUAUACUUUAUUAUUUUUAUUUUUUUUACAAAUUAAUUAUGAAAAGCUGAAAUGUCUUGAGUCAAUAAGUAUUCAACCCCUUUUAUGGCAACAAGUCACAUAAUAAGUUGCAUGGACUCACUCUGUGUGCAAUAAUGGUGUUUAACAAGAUUUUUGAAUGACUACCUCAUCUCUGUACCCCACACGUACAAUUAUCUGUAAGGUCCCUCAGUCGAGCAGUGAACUUCAAACACAGAUACAACCACAAAGACCAGGGAGGUUUUCCAAUGCCUCGCAAAGAACGACAACUAUUGGUAAAAUAAAAAGAGGACAUUGAAUAUCCCUUUGAGCAUAGUGAAGUUAUUAAUUACACUUUGGAUGGUGUAUCAAUACACCCAGUCACUACAAAAUACAGGCGUCCUUCCUAACUCAGUUGCAGAAGAGGCAGGAAACCACUUGGCCUGAAUACAUGUUAUGUUUGGGUCAAAUCCAACACAUUACUGAGUACCACUCUGCAUAUUUUCAAGCAUAGUGGUGGCUGCAUCAUGUUAUGGGUAUGCUUGUAAUCGUUAAGGACUGGGACAUUUUUCAGGAUAAAAAAAUUUACUUCAUGGAGCUAAGCACAGGCAAAAUCCUAGAGAAAAACCUGGUUCAGUCUGCUUUCCACCAGACACUGGGAAAGGAAUUCACCUUUCUGCAGGACAAUAACUGGAAAAAACACAAGGCCAAAUCUACACUGCAGUUGCUUACCAAGAAGACACAGAAUUUUCCUGAGUGGCCUAGUUACAGUUUUGACUUAAAUCUGCUUCAAAAUCUAUGGCAAGUCCUAAAAAUGGUUGUCUAGCCAAACAAUUUGACAGAGCUUGAAGAAUUUUGAAAAGCAUAAUGGGCAAAUGUUGUACAAUCCAGGUGUGGAAAGCUCUUAGACUUACCCAGAAAGACUCACAGCUGUAAUCACUGCUAUGGGUGCUUCUACGAAGUAUUGACUCGGGUGUGAGUACUUGUGUAAAUAUGAGAGUGCAUUUGUAAAGUAUUCAGAUCCCUUCACCUUUUCCACAUUUUGUUGCCUUAUUCUAAAAUGGAUUAAAUACUUUCCCCCCUUCACACAAUACCCCAUAAUGACAAAGCCAAAACGGAUAUUUUUACAAAUGUAUAAAAAAACAGAAAUACCUUAUUUAUAUAAGUAUUCAGACCCUUUACUAUGAGACUUGAAAUUGAGCUCAGGUGCAUCCUGUUUCCAUUGAUAAUCCUUGAGAUGUUUCUACAACUGGAUUGGAGUCCACCUGUGGUAAAUUCAAUUGAUUGCACAUGAUUUGGAAAGGCACACACCUGUCUAUAUAAGUUCCCACAGUUGACAGUGUAUGUCAGAGCAGAAACAAAGCCAUGAGGUUGAAGGAAUUGUCCAUAGAGCUCAGAGACAGGAUUGUGUCGAUUUUAUUUAACCAGGUAGGCCAGUUGAGAACAAGUUCUCAUUUACAACUGCGACCUGGAAAAUAUAAAGCGAAACAGUGCGACAAAAAAUACAACAGAGUUACACAUGGGAGAAACAAACAUACAGUCAAUAACACAAUAGAAAAUGUCUAUUUACAGUGUGAAGGCAAUAAAUACGCCAUAGUAGCGAAGUAAUUACAAUUUAGCAAAUUAACACUGGAGUGAUAGAUGUGCAGAAGAUGAAUGUGCAAGUAGAGAUACUGGGAUGCAAGAGGGUAAGUAAUAAUAUAGGGAUGAGGUAGUUGGGUGUGCUAUUUACAGAUGGGCUGUGUACAGGUACAGUGAUUGGUAAGCUGCUCUGACAGCUGAUGCUUAAAGAUAGAGAGGGAGAUAUAAGACUCCAGCUUCAGUGAUUUUUGCAGUUCGUUCCAGUCAUUGGCAGCAGAGCACUAGAAGGAAAGGUGGCCAAAGGAGGAAUUGGCUUUGGGGAUGACCUGUGAAAUAUACCUGCUGGAGUGCGUGCUACGGNNNNNNNNNNNNNNNNNNNNNNNNNNNNNNNNNNNNNNNNNNNNNNNNNNNNNNNNNNNNNNNNNNNNNNNNNNNNNNNNNNNNNNNNNNNNNNNNNNNNUUGUAUAAGGCAGUAGGUUGGUAAUAUACAGGCAGUAGUUUGGUAUUAUACAGGCAGCAGUAGUUUGGUAUUAUACAGGCAGUAGUUUGGUAUUAUACAGGCAGGCAGUAGUUUGGUGUUAUACAGGCAGGCAGUAGUUUGGUAUUAUACAGGCAGUAGUUUGGAGUUAAACAGGCAGUAGUUUGGUAUUACACAAGCAGUAGUUUGGCAUUAUACAGGCAGUAGUUUGGUGUUAUACAGGCAGUAGUUUGGUAUUAUACAGGCAGGCAGUAGUUUGGUAUUAUACAGGCAGUAGUUUGGUAUUAUACAGGCAGUAGUUUGGUAUUAUACAGGCAGGAAGUAGUUUGGUAUUAUACAGGCAGUAGUUUGGUAUUUUACAGGCAGGCAGUAGUUUGGUAUUAUACAGGCAGGCAGUAGUUUGGUAUUAUACAGGCAGUAGUUUGGUGUUAAACAGGCAGUAGUUUGGUAUUAUACAGGCAGUAGUUUGGCGUUAUACAGGCAGUAGUUUGGUGUUAUACAGGCAGUAGUUUGGUAUUAUACAGGCAGUAGUUUGGUAUUAUACAGGCAGUAGUUUGGUAUUAUACAGGCAGUAGUUUGGUGUUAUACAGGCAGUAGUUUGGUAUUAUACAGGCAGUAGUUUGGUAUUAUACAGGCAGGCAGUAGUUUGGUAUUAUACAGGCAGGCAGUAGUUUGGUGUUAUAGGCACGCAGUGGUUUGGUAUUAUACAGGCAGGCAGUAGUUUGGUAUUAUACAGGCAGUAGUUUGGUAUUAUACAGGCAGUAGUUUGGUGUUAUACAGGCAGUAGUUUGGUAUUAUACAGGCAGUAGUUUGGUAUUAUACAGGCAGUAGUUUGGUUUUAUACAGGCAGUAGUUUGGUAUUAUACAGGCAAGUAGUUUGGUAUUAUACAGGCAGUAGUUUGGUAUUAUACAGGCAGGCAGUAGUUUGGUGUUAUACACGCAGUAGUUUGGUAUUAUACAGGCAGUAGCUUGGUAUUAUACAGGCAGGCAGUAGCUCGGUAUUAUAGGCAGGCAGUAGUUUGGUAUUAUACAGGCAGUAGUUUGGUAUUAUACAGGCAGUAGUUUGGUAUUAUACAGGCAGGCAGUAGUUUGGUAUUAUACAGGAAGUAGUUUGGUAUUA